UACGUAGGGUGCAAGCGUUGUUCGGAAUUAUUGGGCGUAAAGGGCGCGUAGGCGGUGCGGUAAGUCUGUAGUGAAAUCUCUGGGCUCAACUCAGAGUCUGCUGCAGAAACUGCCGUGCUUGAGUGUGGCAGAGGUGAGUGGAAUUCCCGGUGUAGCGGUGAAAUGCGCAGAUAUCAGGAGGAACACCAAUGGCGAAGGCAGCUCGCUGGGACGUGACUGACGCUGAGACGCGAAAGCGUGGGGAGCAAACAGG
rnacentral:rRNA from 1 species